GACGAACGCUGGCGGCGUGCCUAAUACAUGCAAGUCGAACGCAGUGGGGACGGGUGAGUAACACGUGGGUAACCUCCCAUCAGAGGGGAUAACACUUGGAAACAGGUGCUAAACCGAUACUGAUGGAUGGACCCGCGGUGCAUUAGCUAGUUGGUGAGGUAACGGCUCACCAAGGCCACGAUGCAUAGCCGACCUGAGAGGGUGAUCGGCCACACUGGGACUGAGACACGGCCCAGACUCCUACGGGAGGCAGCAGUAGGGAAUCUUCGGCAAUGGACGAAAGUCUGACCGAGCAACGCCGCGUGAGUGAAGAAGGUUUUCGGAUCGUAAAACUCUGUUGUUAGAGAAGCGGUAUCUAACCAGAAAGCCACGGCUAACUACGUGCCAGCAGCCGCGGUAAUAC
rnacentral:rRNA from 1 species